rnacentral:rRNA from 1 species
UACGUAGGGUGCAAGCGUUGUCCGGAAUUAUUGGGCGUAAAGAGCUCGUAGGCGGUUUGUCGCGUCUGCUGUGAAAUCCCGAGGCUCAACCUCGGGCCUGCAGUGGGUACGGGCAAACUAGAGUGCGGUAGGGGAGAUUGGAAUUCCUGGUGUAGCGGUGAAAUGCGCAGAUAUCAGGAGGAACACCGAUGGCGAAGGCAGGUCUCUGGGCCACUACUGACGCUGAGAAGCGAAAGCAUGGGGAGCGAACAGG